CCCAUCGGCUGGGAAUCGAACCUGGGCCGCCCGCGUGGCAGGCGAGCAUUCUACCACUGAACCACAGAUGG
rnacentral:tRNA from 1 species